ACGAGGAAGAAUGGCAGCCAGCAGAGGACGAAGCAUCCCACCACAAUGCCCAGCGUCUUGGCGGCUUUCUUCUCUCGGGAAAACUUGAGCAGCCUCACGGAGAAGUGAGUCUUAUUCUUGGCACUGCUUACUCCGCUGCCUUCUGCAGGGACAUUUUUACGGUGGAUACGGAGCGUCACUUGCUCUGAGUCUGACUUGUCGGUCUUGAGGCCGGACUUGAGGCCUCGGCUUUCUCUCUUGGCUACCACGUAGACUCGACAGUACAUAACCAGGAUGAUGGUCAGUGGCACGUAGAAAGAGCCCAGCGCUGAGAACAGCACGUAUCCUGGCUCCUCAUUGAUUUGGCAGAUGGUCUCAUCCUCCGGAGCCUGCUGCCUCCAGCCGAACAGGGGUCCGAUGGAGAUGACCAAGGAAAGCGCCCAGACGCAGAGCAGAGCCCUGACGCCCCUCCUCUGGGUGACAAUGGUGGGGUAGCGCAGCGGGUAGCUCACACCAAUGUAUCGGUCGAUGGAGAUGAUGCAGAGGCCCAUGAUGGACGCUGUGCAGCAUAAGACGUCCACCGCCGCCCAGAUGUUGCAGAACACCCUGCCAAAGGCCCAGUAGCCCAGGAUCUCAAAGAUGGCAGAGAAGGGCAGCACGGUGGAGGUGAGGAGGAGGUCUGCCACAGCCAGGUUGACAAUGUAGUAGUGAGUCACCGAGUGCAGAUGCCGAUGACAGGCCACCGAGAGGAUCACUAAAAUAUUCCCCAAGACCCCGAAAAUGAUGAGGCCCCCCAAGAUCACCCCAAGUAGAAUGGCCUUAGAAAUGUUCACCUGUGCUGGCGGGUGGGUGCAGUUGGAGCCUUCAGAAGCAUUUUCAGAAAGAAGCACCAUGGUCCCAGGGAGGGGGCAAGGUCGGGCUUUGGACGGCCACCCUCUGGCGGAGGGCGGAAACGUGAGCCUGAGGAAGCCAAGUCAAAAAAUCUCCGCUUGGGGGAAUCCUGCGGGCUGGGUUGGGCUGGGGGAGGGAGAGAACACACCUGUUGUAAACCGCCUGGAGCAGCUCUGGGAACCCUCAGAGGGCCACGUUGAGGAACAGAGCAUUAAAGGAGACAUGGCCAGGCGCGCUCUGGGCUUCUGGGGACACCUUCCAAAGGUUUAAAAGGACAUGCUGUGAAAGCCACCAGAAAUUACAAAAAUCCGCUUCUCUGUGCACUCUGAUCCAUCCUGUGCAUCCACGCAAUUAGAAAUUCACGAGUCUGUGACUAGUCUUUGCUGAAAUGGUUAGCUAAGUGUGGCUCAGCCUUCGAAGCUCAAGGCAGGGACGCUGGGCGAAUGGGCGCUGCAGCUGACCGGCAGUGACUCUCAACUUGGCCGCCCAUCUAUGGGAUACCGCUAGCUCCAGUUUCUAGGAGUUCUGGCUAGGUAACAUGGGUCUGGAAUAUUUGCUGAGACCGAAGUGGCCCUGGAGCUUCGUUUAUCUGAAUUCAGCUG
rnacentral:lncRNA from 1 species